rnacentral:tRNA from 6 species
GCGUCCGUAGCUCAGCGGCAGAGCGGCUGUCUCCAAAACAGUUACGCGCGGGUUCGAGUCCCUCCAGGCGUG